rnacentral:rRNA from 1 species
AAAAAUGCUUGCCGGCUCAAGGACAAGCUGUGACGGGUAUGAACGAUUUAUCGUUCUAAGUGAGUGACGUCACACUGCCAAGAAAAGCUUCUAGUUAGAAUCAGACCGCCCGUACCGCAAACCGACACAGGUAGUCGGGUCGAGAAGACCAAGGUGAGCGAGAGAACUCUCGUUAAGGAACUCGGCAAAAUGACCCCGUAACUUCGGGAGAAGGGGUGCUGAUCGCAAGAUCAGCCGCAGUGAAUAGGCCCAGGCGACUGUUUAUCAAAAACACAGGUUUCUGCAAAAUCGUGAGAUGAAGUAUAGGGGCUGACGCCUGCCCGGUGCUGGAAGGUUAAGAGGAUGGGUUAGCGUAAGCGAAGCUCAGAAUUGAAGCCCCAGUAAACGGCGGCCGUAACAAUAACGGUCCUAAGGUAGCGAAAUUCCUUGUCGGGUAAGUUCCGACCCGCACGAAAGGCGUAACGAUCUGGGCACUGUCUCAACGAGAGACUCGGUGAAAUUAUAAUACCCGUGAAGAUGCGGGUUACCCGCGACAGGACGGAAAGACCCCAUGGAGCUUUACUGUAGCUUGAUAUUGGGUGUUUGUACAACUUGUACAGGAUAGGUAGGAGCCGUAGAAGUCGGGACGCUAGUUUCGACGGAGGCAUCGGUGGGAUACUACCCUCGUUGUAUGAACACUCUAACCCACGCCGGCAAUCACGGCGGGAGACAGUGUCAGGUGGGCAGUUUGACUGGGGCGGUCGCCUCCUAAAAGGUAACGGAGGCGCCCAAAGGUUCCCUCAGAAUGGUUGGAAAUCAUUCGCAGAGUGUAAAGGCAUAAGGGAGCUUGACUGCGAGACCUACAAGUCGAGCAGGGACGAAAGUCGGGCUUAGUGAUCCGGUGGUUCCGCAUGGAAGGGCCAUCGCUCAACGGAUAAAAGCUACCCUGGGGAUAACAGGCUUAUCUCCCCCAAGAGUCCACAUCGACGGGGAGGUUUGGCACCUCGAUGUCGGCUCAUCGCAUCCUGGGGCUGUAGUCGGUCCCAAGGGUUGGGCUGUUCGCCAUUAAAGCGGUACGCGAGCUGGGUUCAGAACCGUGAGACAGUUCGGUCCCUAUCCGUCGCGGGCGCAGGAAAUUUGAGAGGAUCUGUCCUUAGUACGAGAGGACCGGGAUGGGCAUACCGCUGGUGUACCAGUUGUUCUGCCAAGGGCAUCGCUGGGUAGCUAUGUAUGGAUGAGAUAAACGCUGAAAGCAUCUAAGUGCGAAACUCACCUCGAGAUAAGAUUUCCCACUCCUUUAUGGAGUUAAGACCCCUGAGAGAUGAUCAGGUAGAUAGGAUGGAAGUGGAAGUGCGGCGACGCAUGGAGCGGACCAUUACUAAUCGGUCGAGGACUUAACC